rnacentral:rRNA from 1 species
UGGGCAACCUGCCCCAGACUCUGGGAUAACUCCGGGAAACCGGGGCUAAUACCGGAUACUCUCGGCCGGCCGCAUGAUCGGCCGAGGAAAGCUCCGACGGUCUGGGAUGGGCCCGCGGCCUAUCAGCUUGUUGGUGAGGUAACGGCCCACCAAGGCGACGACGGGUAGCUGGUCUGAGAGGACGGCCAGCCACACUGGGACUGAGAUACGGCCCAGACUCCUACGGGAG